CGCUUCUUAGCUCAGCUGUGUAGAGCGCUGCCCUUACAAGGCGGAGGUCGUAGGUUCGAGCCCUACAGAAGCGACCA
rnacentral:tRNA from 1 species